GACGAACGCUGGCGGCGUGCCUAAUACAUGCAAGUAGAACGCUGAAGGAGGAGCUUGCUUCUCUGGAUGAGUUGCGAACGGGUGAGUAACGCGUAGGUAACCUGCCUGGUAGCGGGGGAUAACUAUUGGAAACGAUAGCUAAUACCGCAUAAGAGUAGAUGUUGCAUGACAUUUGCUUAAAAGGUGCAAUUGCAUCACUACCAGAUGGACCUGCGUUGUAUUAGCUAGUUGGUGAGGUAACGGCUCACCAAGGCAACGAUACAUAGCCGACCUGAGAGGGUGAUCGGCCACACUGGGACUGAGACACGGCCCAGACUCCUACGGGAGGCAGCAGUAGGGAAUCUUCGGCAAUGGACGGAAGUCUGACCCGAGCAAACGCCCGCGUGAGUGAAAGAAAGGUUUUUCGGAU
rnacentral:rRNA from 1 species